GUCCUACGGGACGCAGCAGUCGGGAAUAUUGCGCAAUGGAGGAAACUCUGACGCAGUGACGCCGCGUAUAGGAAGAAGGUUUUCGGAUCGUAAACUUCUAUCAGCAAGGAAGAAAAAGGACAGUACUUGACUAAGCAGCCCCGGCUAACUACGUGCCAGCAGCCGCGGUAAUACGUAGGGGGCAAGCGUUAUCCGGAAUUACUGGGUGUAAAGGGUGCGUAGGCGGCACGCCAAGUCAGUUGUGAAACCCGUAGGCUCAACCUACGGCUUGCAAUUGAA
rnacentral:rRNA from 1 species